rnacentral:rRNA from 1 species
UACGGAGGGGACUAGCGUUGUUCGGAAUUACUGGGCGUAAAGGGCUCGUAGGUGGCCAACUAAGUCAGACGUGAAAUCCCUCGGCUUAACCGGGGAACUGCGUCUGAUACUGUCGGGGCUAGAGUAGCGGAAGAGGCGAGUGGAAUUCCUGGUGUAGCGGUGAAAUGCGCAGAUAUCAGGGAGGAACACCAAUGGCGAAGGCAGCUCGCUGGGACGUGACUGACGCUGAGACGCGAAAAGCGUGGGGGAGCAAACAGG